UAAGCAGCAUGGGGAAUCUGGAGCUUGUAGAUGGAAAACAGAAUCCUCUUUGGUCAACGAAUAUUUCGGUGCUAUCUAAUGGUUCAGCUGCAUCUCUUUUAGACACCGGAAACUUUGUCGUAAAAGAUGAUGAUGUCGGAGCUGAACCGUUGUGGCAGAGUUUUGAUUAUCCUAGUGACACACUUCUACCAAGUAUGCUGCUGGGGUUCAAUAGCAAAUCUGGAGAGACGAAUUUCCUGACUUCCUGGAAAAGUGAGAGUGAUCCAUCGACGGGGAUGUUCAUGGUUGGAUUGACACCAGAGGUGCCAUCACAGAUUGUAAUUUGGAUUAAUGGAUCAACUCCCUACUGGAGAACCGGGCCAUGGGAUAAAUCAAAGUUCAUCGGGCUACCAGGUACAAAUGAUGCAUAUACAAGUGGAUUCAGAUUAGAUGAUAAUGCAGAGGAAGGAACAAAGUAUUAUUCUUAUAGUUCUUAUAAUUACGGGGACGUUUUGGCGUACUCAGACAUCUCUUCAGACGGUACACUUAAGUUUAUGAAUUCGGAACGUGGAGAGUACUGGAUUCUUGACUUUUUAGCACAAAAUAACUCAUGUGAUAAGUAUGCAGCAUGCGGACCUUUCGGGGUUUGCAAACGUUCUGAAUCUCCAACAACUCCAAUAUGCAAGUGUUUUGAAAGGGUUUGUACCAAAGUCACACGAGGAAUGGAGCAAAGGAAACAGGACAGGAGGGUGUGUGAGGCAAACCAAAUUGUUUUGUGAGACUAAUACAAGUCAGUCAGUCGCUUCGAGAAGAAAUGAAGACGGGUUUUUGAAGAUGACGCAGUUAAAAAGUACCAGAUUUUCAUGAAUAUAUCAAGUUUUCAGAUGCACAGAAGUGCAGGACACAGUGCCUAAAAAAUUGUUCUUGCCUGGCUUAUGCACAUGUUGAUAACAUAGGAUGUUUGGUCUGGUCCAAAGGCCUUCUUGAUAUACAGGAAUUUGUCUAUGGUGGAGAAGAUCUUUUUAUUCGCCUGGACCGCUCAGAACUCGGUAAAUAAUAACAUUGCUUGUACAGCUCCAAUUAGCUAGCUAUAUGUUUUACACAACUUUUCUGUUACAAAUACAAUUUUUUCAGGUGAAGGAAAGCCAAUAAAGUUAAUUGCCAGCCUCGCAGCAAUUUGUUUGAUUAGCAUCUUGGGUGCCCUAGGGUUCGGUUUCCACAGGUUGCAAGCUAAUAAUAAAAAGGGUAAGAGAAUGAGAUGGAUGUGAUUGAUAUGAGCAAACUAGCAAAAAAAUGCUUGGUUUGAUCUGAAUUAUUUGUUAGUCCGCUGAUCUGACUCGGUUUUUGAUUCUUAUGAUUUCCAUAUCAGGAAACGCCAGAUUAACUGAUACAAUUGAGAACGGAAGAGACACUCUUCAAGAAUACAUUGGAAAGCAUGAUCCAUCAGAGCUGGUCAUCUAUAAUUUCGAUAGCAUUUUAAUCGCAACGAACAAUUUCAGUAUCACAAACAAACUCGGGGAAGGAGGAUUUGGCCCUGUUUACAAGGUGAUUGCGCAUUCUGUUUUUUCUCUAGCUAUAGUAUAUUAUCACAACAGCUACAAGCCUACAAGUAUACAACUGCAAGAUACAGAUAUGAAUCUAAUGAUUAAUUUUUCGCCGGGCUCGUGUAGGGUAAGCUGCAAGAAGGGAAGGAAAUAGNCCCUACGUACAGUGAAGAGUUAUAUAACUUAGCGUUCGAAUCAAUUCGCGUUGAAUUGUACUUGGGUUGCCAUGUCAACGGCGUCAAGUUCUUAGCGGGUGCACGAGAUGACAAGUUGUGUAAAUAAAACAACGGUGUUCAUGUCCCCGGAGGAGGAGAAAGUAUAGACAUUGAAUUCUAUGGCAAACUAACAAGUGUCGUGCAAUUGCUUUAUAAAGACCGGUGCCAAGUGAUCCUAUUUAAGUGUCGAUGGUUGGAUACACACCCAGAUAGGCAUGGAAGUGUGAAAAAAGAUCAUGGAUUACUAUUAGUGAACACUACCAAAACUUGGUACGAUGACGACCCUUCCAUAUUAGCAACCAUGGCAAAACAAAUUGUGUAUCUAGAUGACCCUAAAUCCGGGAGGGGUUGGAAAGUUGUUCAGAAGAUGGAUCAUAGGAACGUGUAUGCUAUACCAUAAAUUUUCAUCGCCCACGUGUCUGAAAAUUCAAUUAAAGUGGUUUUUUUUCGCAGAAAUUUUCUGACAAUUGGGCGACGAAUCAAUAUGUUUCGUCGCUCAAAGUAUAUUUGCGGGACGAAAUAUAUUGGUUCGUCACGCAAUUGUCUGAAAAUUCAAAUAAAGCGUUUUUUUUUUCCAGAAAUUUUAAAAAUCUUGCACGAUGAUUGUUUAGCCUUGCUAGAUGAAAACUCUAUCGCGUAAUAUCCUAUAUUAUUAACCCCGUGUGUUUCGUUCCCCCUUACUUCCCUCGUCUCCCUUUUUUCCCCGCGCGAUACCCUCUCUUUCCUUCCUCUCUAUCUUUGUCUGUUUCUUUUUCACUCACCUCGUCUCUCAGUCCAUCGCCUCUUUUUCUAUAACAGGUAAUUUCCUUUUCAGUUUUUAGUUUCAAUUUUGUUUAUUGAUUGGGGGUUAGAAUUAGGGUUUUUAUUUUUUUUCAAAUUGGGGGCGGUGGGGUUAGAUUUAGGGUUCGUAAAUUGGAGGUUACAUUUAGGUUCUUAAAUUAGAGUUUUUACGAUUCUUAAUUGGGGUUAGAUUUAGGUCUUAACUUAAGGGAACAAUUUUGGGCAGUGAGGUUAGAUUAGGUUUUCUGAAAUUGGGGGUUAGAUUUAGGGUGCUUCACUGGGGGCUAGAUUAAGGUUCUUAAAUUAGGGGUUUUUUAAUUUCAAGUACAGGGUUCGAGUUAGGGGUUUUCUAAUUUAAGUACAGGGUUCUUAAAGUAAGGAUUUGCAUUGUUGACUGCCACGAUUUGUUGAUAUAUAAUGGGGUAUUACCCUUUGUUGUUGCCUUAUUAAUAUGAUAGACUCCAUUGUGUUGCUUGUUGAAUUCGGCCUCCCAAUUUUGAAGUUACAUUUACGUUUUGAUUUUAAUCUUUCUUUUUUGCACAAUAAUUUGAAUUCCUCCAUUAUAGUUUAGAUUAUAUAUAUAUAUAUAUAUAUUAGAUUUUCAUGAUGAGAGGUAUUAGCAAACUUCUUUUGCUGCAAAUCGCAGAGCACAUGAACUUUGUUAUGAUGGGAAUGUUUCAAUUAUUUUCAUAUUUCUACGUCUCUAAAAUCAUUGAAUCUGCCCAUAUGCAUUCAGAAAAUGCUUUUGACUAGCCAAUGGACUGAAAUUCCUAUAUGAUUAUUUCAGUUAACAAGUUCAUUUGAAAUCAAAUCAACAAUUAGCAAUCCUUUUGUAGCCAUUGAAGUUGUAAGCAAGUGAAAACAGAAUCAAAAUCUGUGUACUAAACAAAUUGAUUGCCAAUUUUGUAGAUGUCUCACCUGAUUAGAACCCGGAGGCCGAUGACUUCUACACCUAGUCCGACGACUAUACCUACUACUGCCACCACUGCUCUGACAGAGAUGGACCAUAGGCCGGUCAAUCCGAUUCACUCAGAUGGUCCUCCAGUCCCACAGGCGUAGGCAUCGUCGACUUUUUUUGGUGGCGUUACCUAUUAACCCCAGACGAACUUAUCGACGCCCUCGUAUUGUGGACCAAAUGUCGCCAUCGGGAUCCACAACUGAUGCCUCCGGUACACAGCCAAGUAUACAAUCCUAAUUCACUCCUUCAUUCCCUUGUUUACUAAGGUUUAGGGUUUAGGGUACACAACCAGGUAUUCAAUUUGUUAAGUCAUGUAAGGAUUAAAAAGUUUUCAUCGUUCCGAACCUUUUAUUAAAUUGUUGUGAUCAUUGUGUUGGAUAUGUAUAUUGUUUAUAUUUAUUUCAGGGUUUUGGGAAAUGUUUUAAUUAUAGGGGAGGUUAUGGCGAAAUUUUAGUAGGAUUUGUUAUUAGUUAUGGGUUAAUGAUUUUUUUUUCAUCUCUUUGCAGCGAAGAAAAACACCCGGAGACCUUGUCGGCAAUUGAAGAGGGGGAAGGUCACCUGGGUGACCAACGGUUGUAUCCUAAUUGGAUACGAUGAGCGAUAUCGGGCAGCACCAACGGCGGAGCAACAUAGUGCAUUAGCCCACGACAUUGGGCAUGUCGUGCGGACCUUUAGCCCUAUGAUGUGGAAGUCUUGGAAGGCAAUGUCGGAGGAGACGAAGAUUACGAUGCGCAAUCAAUUAUCCGUACGUAGCAUCGCCUUUUUAAUGCUUUUCAUGUAAAAUUUAUAUAUUUAUAUGUAUUACUGUCUUUUAUUACUAAUGCUUUCAAAAUAUUUGUUAUAUUGCAGACAAACUACAAUUUGGAGCACAUGGACGAGGACAAGUUCACGUAUGUCAAUCGGCUCUUCUCCGAAUGCUACAAGCAGUGGAAGAGUGACCUGCACCAAUGCUUCCAGGAGUUUGAUGAUCCGCAUGUCACUCUUGAGGAGGGAUGUCCGAAGGAGUUGGAGGACCGACAAGAUAGUUGGGUUUGGCUUUACGGUCAUUUUUAGUGACGCAACAUAUGUGGUGCGUUUUUUAAUGACGACUUCUUUCAUUUUUACUUCUUUUUAUUUUUAUUUUUAUUAAUUUUUUUUUUUAAUUUUCUUUAACUAUUACAACUAAUACGUUUAUUUUUUGUAUAACAGAAGAAGGCGAAGGCGAACAAGAUCAAUCGAGAGAAGAAGACUCUUCUCCACCAUUCGGGUUUGAGGCCUUUCUCCUAUAGGAUGGAGGCGCGACGGAAGGUAUAUAUUACAACUUUCAUUUCCAAUUUAAAAAUGUCGCUAAUAAUUUUUUUUUUUCGUACUAACAUUUUCCUUAUCUUCUUUUUAUUUCAGGAGGGUUCAAAAUUUUCGGAGAUCGACGUCUUUGCUGACGUUUAUGUUCGGCCUGGGAAUGAGUUGACCCAGUCCCUUCAUGUAAGUAAUUUCUUAUGCAUUAAACAUUUAUACUAAUUCUUUCAAAUUGUUUUCUAUUAAUAAUCCAUGUUUUUUUUCACAGGCAACUAUGGUGGAGAAGCGACAGGUGGUGCUUCAGAAGUUCGCCUCCCACCUUCCUCUGGACACGCCGAUCAAGUCUGUGGAUCCCCCUGAGGAUGUAGGGUUUCACAUCGUCACUGAGAUGUUGGACCAGACUUUCGAUCGGAGGCCAGGGACAUAUUGUCGGGGGAUGGGAAAUGCUAGGCGUCGAGAGACUGGAGCCUCGUCAUUCGCGCAGUCAAAGACCAAGGUUACGGCUUUGACGUAGGAAGUCGCUGGGGGAGUGAGCUGGCAUCGUACAAGUCUCAAAUGUCAAUGCUUGUACAAGCCCUCAGUUCCUCUGGAAUACAUCUCCCCGAUUUUUCUACACCAUCGCCCUCACGGCCCUUCCACACCAAGCAAGCACAGCAAUCAGGCCCGUCAACCUCCGACCCCGUCCCCAACAACAACAAGAUAACCAAGCACCUCCGAAUGACACGCCUAUAGAUUUUGCCUCUUUAUUUUCAUAGUUUUGUUCCCUUUUUUUUUUAACUUUAACAUUUGUACGUACAUUUUAUGAAAUUUGUUUUUUUUUUCCUUUUAUUCUUAUUUUUUUAUUAAAAAUUACACGUGCGCGACGACGAAAUGUCGUCGCAACAAAAUUAAGCGCGUCUUACUCUUCCUAGCGCAUUACUACGUGACUACUAUAGAUUUCGUCGCGCAAACAAGUUUUGAGGCAAAUUUACCCACAAACGCACUUGUACUCGUUUAUAUCGUACGACGAAAAACCUUUGUCCGUAUAACUUUUGCGCGACGACUAGUAAAGCGUCGCGCAGUUGUCAAGACGCGCGACAAAUUUGAAGAUGUUCGUCGCGCAAUGUCUUUUUUUCACGAGCUUUGCGCGACAAAAUAUGCAUGGCGAUUUUCUGGUCGCCAUAAGUUUAUGUACGACCAAAAUAAUUAUUUUGCGCAACAAAAAUGUCCGUAGUCGGGCAAACUGUUAAAUUUAGUAGUGUUUUAAGACAAACAAUCCUUAGGGUUAGGCCGCCACUAGCCGACGACACAUUGUUUACAGGAAAGAAUGCCCACCGAACGGGAUCGUAACGUUUCAACGGUCUUCUGCGACAGAGAGGGACUCAAUCACUCACCAUAUCGGACUGCAGCGUGGCAUGUGACAAAAAAGUCAUAUAAAUAACACCAAUAUAUAGACAGCCCCACAUCAUCCACGGUGCACCUCAAGACUGUAGACUGAUCGAAGAGGCAGGAUAUUAUUAAAAAAUAAAUUUACAAAAUUACCCUUGCCUUAUUUUCAGCAUUCUUUUUUAUUGCUUUGAACUUUUUUUUGGCAGAGGGGUAUUUGUGUCCAAAUAAUUUUGUCGAAGAGGGUGACCCCAAAAUGGGUCUCCAGACUUGGAUUGUCUGUCCUUCCAUCUCAUACUCUUAUUAUGCUCUCUUAUAUUAUGUGAUCACAGUUAAAUUACGUUAAUAUUUUAUAUUAAUAUUUUUAUAAAAAUAAUAAAAAUAUAAAAUAGUAACGUGAUUUAAUCGUGAUCAUAGAGUAUAAGAGAACAUCAUAAGGGUACGCGAUGGGAGGGCACACAAUCCAAAGUCCCCGGUUUUAUAUAUAAAAGAAGAUAUGCGAAGAUAGAGGAACACGUUUUCAGUCAAAUGUCAAACAUCUACAACGAACGAUAUCUGAUGUUUCAAAGUUUUCGGCCCUUGAUUUGAGAGCAUUGGUAGACUUUUCCUUAGAACAAAAUUGAAAAGCCAUUUUCUUCCAACGAAAUUUACAGAUACUCUUCACCUUUCUUUUUCUAGAAAACGCAGUAGAACUGAAAUGGGGUUUGGAAAGGAAACCAUUGGUAGUAUUUUCGAUUCCACCAUGUUCGUCCUAAUUUUGUUCACCUUGCUGCUGUCACAGCAUCAGUGUGCUGAAGUUUAUGAGAUAACUCCGUCACAACCAUUUUCACAGACACAAACCCUUGUCUCCCCCAGCCGCAUUUUCGAAUUGGGGUUCUUCAGUCCUAAUGGUUCGGUUAACAAGUACGUGGGGAUAUGGCACACGAACAUAUCUCCGCGGAAAGUUGUAUGGGUUGCCAACAGAGAAAACCCUCUUGCAGCUUCAGAUACCUUGGCUAAUUUGACAAUUAGCAGCAAUGGGAAUCUGGAGCUUGUAGAUGGGAAGCAGAAUUCUCUUUGGUCAACGAAUAUUUCGGUGCCAUCUAAUGGUUCAGCUGCAGAGCUUUUGGACAGCGGAAAUCUUGUCGUAAAAGAUGAUGAUGUCGGUGCUGAUCCAUUGUGGCAGAGUUUUGAUUAUCCUAGUGACACACUUCUACCAAAUAUGGUGCUGGAAUUCGAUAGUAAAUCCGGAAAGCGCAGUUUAAUGAAAGCCUGGAAAAGUGAGAUUGAUCCAUCAGCUGGCUUGUUCUGGGCUGGACUUUCACGGGACGUUCCAUCACAAGUGUUCAUUUGGAUUAAUGAAUCGAAACCCUACUGGAGAAGUGGGGCAUGGGAUAAAUCAAGGUUCAUCGGGGUACCGGAUAUGAAUAAUCAAUAUCUAAGUGGAUUCACUCUAAAUGAUGAUGUGAACCCGGGAACAAAAUCUUUUUCCUACAGGUUUUUUGACAAUUCGCUUUCAUAUCUUGGCAUCUCUUCGGAUGGAGUACUGAAUCUUAAGCUUUCGGACAAUGGCAGCAACUGGUGGCUUAACUGGGAGGCACCGGUGAAUCCAUGCGACAUUUAUGGAACAUGUGGUGUUUAUGGUGUCUGCAAAGGUUCUGAAUCUCCAAAUCCAAAUUGCGAGUGUUUGAAAGGGUUUGUACCAAAAUCAAAUGAGGAAUGGAGCAACGGAAACAGGACUGGAGGGUGUGUGAGGACCACCGAAUUGUUUUGUGAUCAGAGUAACACAAGCAGGUCAUUUGCUUCAGGAGGAAAAGAAGAUGGCUUUCGGAAGAUGGUGGGAUUAAAGCUACCAGAUUUUCAUGAGCUUAUCGAAAAUCUGGAGGCUGACGAGUGCAAGAUACGAUGCCUAAAUAAUUGUUCUUGUCAGGCUUAUGCGCAAGUUAAUAAUAUAGGGUGUUUGGUCUGGUCCAGUGACCUUAUUGAUAUACAAGAGUUUACAUUUGGAGGGAACGAUCUUUAUAUUCGCCUAGCACACGGAGAAUUAGGUAAACAAAUGAGAAUUAUUUCCUGCAGUAUUAUUAGAAGUAUCUUUUAUUUUCGGUCUCAUUCUUUGCUCAUUGCAAUUCAUAAAUUCAUUUUUUCAGAUGAAGGAAAGCCUGUAAAGCUAAUUGCUAGCGUCACUGCUGUUGGUUUUAUCAGUAUCUUGAGUGCCAUAGCUUUCGGUGUUCAGAGACUGCGCGGUAAAAAAACAGGUAAGAGAAUAACAUAGAGUGAUAGCAGCUGAUGCAUUAUUCAAAUUAGUAUACAACUUCCAUGCAUAACUUCAUAAGAACAUAUUUACUGAUUGAUAUCCAUUACUUGAUAACCUUGUUGUGAUGAAGUUGUUGUGAUUGUUAUAUUUUCGAAACAGGGAACACGAAAGAAAAAACAAAGUUAAUGCAGUUGAAUCAUACAAGUGAUAAUUCAAGGGACAAUCUUCAAGAAUACAUAAGAAAACAUGAUCCAUCGGAGCUAUUCAUCUACGAUUUUGACAGCAUAUUAAAUGCCACAAACAAUUUCAGCACCAUGAACAAACUCGGGGAAGGAGGUUUCGGCCCUGUUUACAAGGUAACUAUUUAUUUAUUUAUUUCAAUUCCAAAAGGAAAAUAUGGUGUUUUCAACACCGGCUAGAAGCCUAAAACUACAAGACACAGAUAUAAAUCGAAUGUUUAAUUUCUAGGGUAAGCUACAAGAAGGAAAGGAAAUAGCAGUAAAACGACUAUCUAGUAGCUCGGGGCAAGGCAUAGAGGAGUUCAAGAAUGAGAUGCUGUUGAUCUCCAAACUCCAACACAAGAAUCUUGUUAGGAUCAUGGGCUGCUGCGUCAAGGACGAUGAAAAGUUACUGAUUUAUGAGUUCAUGCCUAACAGAAGCUUGGAUACUCUUCUAUUCGGUUAGUUUCACUGCCACUUUUUAUGUUUGGAUGAAAUUUCUCUUUGUUACAUGUUGUUCUUUUGUUACCAUAAUUGGCAAUUCUUUAGCUCUUUGUAAUCCCCCACUACUUAUGAUUUUGUUACUAAUAUUGGUUGCACUUUUUAUGGAUAUUUUUAUUAGAUCCAAAGCGCAAAGCAGAGCUUGAUUGGGCUAGACGCUUCAAUAUUAUUCAGGGAGUUGCUAGAGGGCUUCUUUAUCUCCACCACGAUUCCCGUUUGAAGGUAAUCCAUAGAGAUUUGAAGGUUAGUAACAUUCUCUUGGAUGAGAAUAUGAACCCAAAAAUUUCAGAUUUUGGAUUGGCACGAAUCGUUGAAGCAACACAGAGUCUAGCAAAUACUCACAAGGUUGUGGGAACACUGUAAGCACAUUAUUUUCAUAUUAUUGGCACUUUUAUUAAGACCAGAAACAGAGAAGUCAUUUUUUUUCAGUUAUUAAUACAAGUGAAUUGCUUGUGCAGUGGCUAUAUGUCUCCCGAAUACGCCAUGGGUGGGAUAUUUUCUGAAAAAUCUGAUGUCUAUAGCUUUGGUGUCUUGCUAUUGGAGAUUAUCGCCGGCAAAAAGAAUACUAGCUUCUAUUACAACGAAGAACAGCACGGAUUUUUAGCUUAUGUAAGCUAAUCACUCAAAAUCUUCACGUGGAUUUGUGUUUUUUAAGAUGCUAAAUAUAGCAGAUUCUAACAAUUGUAGGCAACAUUCAUAAUAUGAAUUUUGUCAGGUUUGGCACUUAUGGAAUGAAGGCAGGGGACUGGACUUGCUGGAUGAAGUAUUGGCGGAUUCAUAUUCGUCAUCAGAAGUAACAAGAUGCAUGCAUAUCGGACUUCUCUGCGUACAGGACAAGUCUGAAGAUAGGCCAAUCAUGCCGGACGUAGUUUUCACACUAAGUAGUGAGACGAAUCUUCCACUACCUAAGCAGCCUAUAUUUUCUAAUUUCCGAAACGCAGUCUAUAAUCCUCAACCUCAAUAUGACAAUAUUUUCUCUGCAAAUGAAGAAACUAUAACCAUUAUCGAAGGUCGGUAAGCAAUGGAUUUUGGUGAUUGAAAGUGUAAAGACAAGUAAGGUUACUGCACGUGUAAAAUUUCUGCAUCUUGUACACCGCAAAUCUGCUAUUUAAUUAGUACAGUGGUAGACUGAGUUGAAAGAUGAUCGAAACAUUUUAAGGAAUUCUUCUUCUGAACCUUAUAUAUUUUCCACUAUAAAUACGAACGGAUCAUGCGUGUGGAAAUCACACUUGCAUGGCAAUGGCAAGCAUGAUAUGAAUCGACAAAAAAAGAGAUGACACUGCCCGCAAUGCGGAUUUCCUUCGACUUGUUUCUGUAACGAUUUUGAUCAAGGCCGAUGCUUGUCUCGGCUAGUAAAAUAAAAUUGUCAAGAUGUAAAAUUUGAAACUACCAAAAAAAAAAAUUACGAACAAAAGCACUUUAAUUCUUAGAAAACAACAUUUAAACAGCAGUACAAACACACUGUAGCACCGGUAAUGAUCUACUUAAUGUAUCUUGUCCCGGUGACGAUCAUAUUUAACCUAUAUAUGUAUGUGUGUGUGUGUGUGUGUGUGUCUGUGUGAUAUUUCGGUCCUGCAGGAGAUCCAAUUGCUCUCAGUUCGCCACGUGAGCGAGAAACUAGAGGUAGCAUUCUCAUAAUGAACGUUAGGUGUGUCCAGAAGGAGCCAAAAUCUAUAUCAAAGUCUUCUGCAUGACUUUGACUGCAUUAAUUGAAUUUUAGCCCAAAACAGUAUUUCAAUGUUUGAUCGUAUUGCUUUUCAGGGAAUUUUUAAUCAUUCAGAUGCAAAUUAGAACCGAAAGUAGUGUUAGUACGAUGAAUUCCUCCAUGUUCUUCCUAUUCUUCUUCAGCUUGCUUCUUCUGUCACGGCACCAUUGUGCCGAAGUUUACGAGAUAAGUCCUGCGCAACCAUUAUCAGAGGGACAAACUCUUGUCUCCCCCCGCCAUGUUUUCGAAUUGGGAUUCUUCAGUCCUAAUAAUAAUUCCGGUAAUAAGAAGUAUGUGGGGAUAUGGCACAAGAGUAUUUUUCCUCGAAAAGUUGUAUGGGUGGCCAACAGAGAAAAGCCGAUUGCAGCUUCAGACACCUUGGCUAGUUUGAGAAUAAGCAGCAUGGGGAAUCUGGAGCUUGUAGAUGGAAAACAGAAUCCUCUUUGGUCAACGAAUAUUUCGGUGCUAUCUAAUGGUUCAGCUGCAUCUCUUUUAGACACCGGAAACUUUGUCGUAAAAGAUGAUGAUGUCGGAGCUGAACCGUUGUGGCAGAGUUUUGAUUAUCCUAGUGACACACUUCUACCAAGUAUGCUGCUGGGGUUCAAUAGCAAAUCUGGAGAGACGAAUUUCCUGACUUCCUGGAAAAGUGAGAGUGAUCCAUCGACGGGG
rnacentral:lncRNA from 1 species